rnacentral:rRNA from 1 species
GACGAACGCUGGCGGCGUGCUUAACACAUGCAAGUCGAACGGUGACGAAUGGAGCUUGCUCUGUUCUGAUCAGUGGCGAACGGGUGAGUAACACGUGAGUAACCUGCCCCUGACUCUGGAAUAACUUCGGGAAACCGAAGCUAAUACCGGAUAUGACACAGAGCUGCAUGGUUUCUGUGUGGAAAGUUUUUCGGUUGGGGAUGGACUCGCGGCCUAUCAGCUUGUUGGUGAGGUAAUGGCUCACCAAGGCGACGACGGGUAGCCGGCCUGAGAGGGAGAUCGGCCACACUGGGACUGCGACACGGCCCAGACUCCUACGGGAGGCAGCAGUGGGGAAUAUUGCACAAUGGGCGAAAGCCUGAUGCAGCGACGCCGCGUGAGGGAUGAAGGCCUUCGGGUUGUAAACCUCUUUCAGUAGGGAAGAAGCGCAAGUGACGGUACCUACAGAAGAAGCACCGGCUAACUACGUGCCAGCCGCCGCCGUAACAC